AUGAAGCCCAUCCUCAUCUCAGUGCUUGUGAUGAUAUUCACACUCAGAGAAACAAGUCCCCAGACAGUGACUCAGCCUGAGGACCACAUGUCUGUCUUCGAAGGGGCCCCGGUGCAGGUGAAGUGCAACUACUCGUAUUCUGGGAGUCCUGAUCUCUUCUGGUAUGUCCAGUACCCCAAACAAGGCCUCCAGUUACUCUUGAAACAUAUCUCAAGAGAGACCAUCAAAGGUUUCACGGCUGAUCUUAACAAGGGUGAUAAGUCCUUCCAUCUGAAGAAACCAUCAGCUCAAGAGGAAGACUCAGCCGUAUAUUACUGUGCUCUGAGUGCCACAGUGACUGGUUUUAUAAGGGAGGCAGAGCACAAACCCUUUAGGGAGUUACAGAGAAUAUUUCUUUGUAAAUUCUCCAUAUGGCCACAGAGGGGCAUUCUUCCUCUAGAGACUGACAUUGAGUUGACCUUUUAG